rnacentral:sRNA from 1 species
AUCCGGUAGGUAAGGCUACCGCAGGGAUAUGGGUCACUGCCGCAAAGAGAUGGAGACAUCUUCCGCUGGUUUGAGCAGGUUCUGUCGAACAAUAAGGCAGAAUCUAAUGUGACUUCACCGCCCUGCGAUGCUAAAGCUUGAACGGUG